AUUACAGGCAUGUGUGCGAAGGGCCUUGAAAUCCUUCUGUCUGUGUUGUGAGGCAUGCUGGCUCUUCUCAGCAUGUGGGGGAGCAGUAAUAACAAUUUAAUUCUAAACAAGCCAAAGAGAGUCUGCCUCUACCGUUCAUAAAUGAGGCACUACUCCUUGUCACCUUCUAUUCUAUGUAGAGAUGGGCAGGCCCUUGGGGAAAUCUUUACUUGGUUCUAUACCCCAUAGCACCCCAGCAUUCUGUGAGCUGACUACAGAGUGUCUUCUUGGCCCUUAUGUGGAGGCUGGAGGUGCUUUGUGCAAAUCAGAGCCUCUGGAUGGAAGAGGGAAUGAGAGAAGCGUACACAGACACUCAACGAAUCCUCAUUUCAAGAUUCAUCCAGUUCAUGUCUGGUUGCUGGUACCUAACUCAUCAUCCUGGACAGCCAUGGAAGACCAAUGGUGAAUGAGACUUGUCAUCGAACCUCAUCCAGCACCGCUUAGUUUCAGCUGAGUCCUGCUUCCCAGCGCCCAGACCUUUGCAGAAGUCUCCCAUCUCUCCCAACAAACAUCCCGGUCUAAGAGCUUGGCCCAGCUGUCUUCCACAUCCCUAGCCAGUCCCAUUCUGCACAAUGAAGGAUGCAAACUUCUAGACUUUUCCACAGUCUGGGGGAGAAGAGGAAGCCAUUCAGGGGACAACUUAGUACUCACAAACAAGCCAGCUCUUUCCACCACUUUAUUUUGAUUCAAGAUAGAGUUCCACGAGGUUACCACUUUCCAAAGAUCUGGAUGAAAAGUGGGUUUUUGAAAAGACCAUGAAAUUGGCAGGAUGCCCUAAAAGGAGAGUGGAUAAGGCUAGGAGGCUAAUCCUCCACUUCUCCCCUCUCUUUUUCUUACUUCCAUCAAGUUGGAUGACAGGAUAGCCUCACCCCCAUCACUUAUGUUUUAUGAAGUUGCUGUAGCAUUGGAAAUCUGAUAUUGAAGUAAUAUGUCCUAAUUCUUAGUGAUUUAUAGGAGUUUUAAAAAAAUAGAAACAUAUUUUCUUUUCCCCAGGGCUUGCCCACUAAGAAUGUUAUCAUAAAAAUAAUUCAAAGGUCUGUUCCCUGUUUAAUCAAUUGUUGAAUUAUCAACUACUUUUUUUUCAGUUUCUACUUUAUGCCUUUGUGCAGAGUCUGUUUCUGAAUAACUUACAGUUACAUGUAUUUCAAGUUUUUAAAAACUGUAUAUUUUAAGAUUUACUAUAUUAUGACCUAUUUACCACAUCUUGAACUUAAAAUUGAAUGUAUAGAUUUAUAUUUCAUAUGCUGAUGUUCUAUGUUUCUUCAUGUGUAUGUGUGUGCUGUGUGUAUGCAGGUGCAUGUGUAUGUAGAGCCCAGAGGACAGCCUUGGCUGCCUCCCUUAGGAAUGCCAUUUACUCCUUUGCGACAGGGCCUAUAAUUAGCUCAGUGCUCACCAAGUAGGCUAGACUGGCUGGUCAGCCGGUCCCAGGAAUUCUCAGGAAUUCUCUAGUCUUCAGUCUCUGCCACCCCAGGAUGUCACUGUGCCCAGUAUUUUUACAUGAGUUCUGGUACUCAAUCUCAGGUUCUCUUGUUUGCAAGACAAGGGCUUUGGAGACUGAGCCAUUCUUCCUGCUUCUGUUACAUUUUAAAAAUAUGCUCCCUCAUUGUAAACUUAGAAACUACAAUGGAAACACCAAAAAGGGUGGCAUGACACUGCAUAGACAACCAAAAAUGCCUAGAAUGGUUUUCCUUUUGAUAAUUUGGUACCAGAGAAACAAAUAAGUUCCUUUGUUAGAAUUUAACAGCUUUUUCGAUGAUACACACAGGAUUUUCAUGCAAAUAUGUGAAAUGUGGAUCCUGUGUUAAGAAGCCAUUUAAGAUUUACGCUAGGCAUAGUGACACAUCUGAAGGAGGGGAAUCACAAAUUUAAGAACUGUCUGGGUUACAGAGUGAAUUAUAGUGAGCCUCUGCCUCAAAAUAAAAAGUUGGAUAGUUAGGUAUAUAGCUUUAUGAUAGAAUGUUCAUCUAAUAUUAUUCAUGAAGUUCUGGGUUCAUUCCCUAGCAACGCACACACACACACACA